rnacentral:rRNA from 1 species
AAACUUUCAACAACGGAUCUCUUGGUUCUGGCAUCGAUGAAGAACGCAGCGAAAUGCGAUAAGUAAUGUGAAUUGCAGAUUUCAGUGAAUCAUCGAAUCUUUGAACGCACAUUGCGCCCUCUGGUAUUCCGGAGGGCAUGCCUGUUCAAGCGUCA